UGGAUAGAUUAUUGUAUUCGACUGUAUACCCGAUGUGAAAUAGGGAAUUACACUGUUUUUAAAAAGGAAAGUGAAUCAAUUAACAUAAUAGACUCCU
rnacentral:pre_miRNA from 1 species